rnacentral:rRNA from 1 species
UUAAAGAAGAACGUGGGUGAGAGUAACUGUUCACCCAGUGACGGUAUUUAACCAGAAAGCCACGGCUAACUACGUGCCAGCAGCCGCGGUAAUACGUAGGUGGCAAGCGUUAUCCGGAUUUAUUGGGCGUAAAGCGAGCGCAGGCGGUCUUUUAAGUCUAAUGUGAAAGCCUUCGGCUCAACCGAAGAAGUGCAUUGGAAACUGGGAGACUUGAGUGCAGAAGAGGACAGUGGAACUCCAUGUGUAGCGGUGAAAUGCGUAGAUAUAUGGAAGAACACCAGUGGCGAAGGCGGCUGUCUGGUCUGUAACUGACGCUGAGGCUCGAAAGCAUGGGUAGCGAACAGGAUUAGAUACCCUGGUAGUCCAUGCCGUAAACGAUGAUUACUAAGUGUUGGAGGGUUUCCGCCCUUCAGUGCUGCAGCUAACGCAUUAAGUAAUCCGCCUGGGGAGUACGACCGCAAGGUUGAAACUCAAAAGAAUUGACGGGGGCCCGCACAAGCGGUGGAGCAUGUGGUUUAAUUCGAAGCUACGCGAAGAACCUUACCAGGUCUUGACAUCUUCUGCCAACCUAAGAGAUUAGGCGUUCCCUUCGGGGACAGAAUGACAGGUGGUGCAUGGUUGUCGUCAGCUCGUGUCGUGAGAUGUUGGGUUAAGUCCCGCAACGAGCGCAACCCUUAUUACUAGUUGCCAGCAUUCAGUUGGGCACUCUAGUGAGACUGCCGGUGACAAACCGGAGGAAGGUGGGGACGACGUCAAAUCAUCAUGCCCCUUAUGACCUGGGCUACACACGUGCUACAAUGGAUGGUACAACGAGUCGCGAAACCGCGAGGUUUAGCUAAUCUCUUAAAACCAUUCUCAGUUCGGACUGUAGGCUGCAACUCGCCUACACGAAGUCGGAAUCGCUAGUAAUCGCGGAUCAGCAUGCCGCGGUGAAUACGUUCCCGGGCCUUGUACACACCGCCCGUCACACCAUGAGAGUUUGUAACACCCAAAGCCGGUGGGG